GGCUGAGCGCCGGCCCCAGGCUACACCCCGAGUGGGGCGAGGGGUUCCUGAGUUCAAUCGGGGUCUCGCUGGAAGAGGCCGUCCCCGCCUGGGACCUGGCGCUGGAGCUCUGUUCCGAGGGCUGGAUCCGCCAGGGAAACGCUGCGCCUGGCCAGGACGAGGACCAAAGCGCUGGACUAAACUGUUACUGAACUGAAGUGGUGACCAGGCCAGAGCUUUAAGCAGCAGCCCCAGUGCCCAGGGACCUCUCAGACCCCUGCCCAGAGCAGGAAGCCUGUGGGAUGGUUCAAGCCCAGGAGAAUGGCCAGCUGAGGACUGAUGUUACUUCGGCAAGUAGCCCAGUGACACUGAGCCUCCUGGGAGCCACUGCAAAGAAGGAUGCAGAAUGGUUUUGGAACAUUCAACAGGAGGAAGGGAGCCGGUGGACACUCUGUGGGGACGAAGUUUGGCCAGAGCUUGCUCUACAGGGACAGGCUGUCAACCUCCUGCAGGGCCAGGAAUCAUAAUGAGGCUAUUGGAGGCAACAGAGCAUGGCGGGUGGUCAAAGGCACAGGCUCAGGACCUGGAUUCAAGUUCUCUGGGCUGCCACUUGUUGGGUGUGUAACCAUAGGCAGGGUAAGGAGCUGCCAUAACAGUCCCCACGGAUGCAGUGUCUUGAAACGGCAGAAAUGUAUUCUCUCCUGGCUCUGGAGGCUGGAAGUCUGAAUCCAGGUCUGAGCGGGGCCACACUCCCUCUGGAGGCUCUGGGGGAAGAUCCUUCCUGGCCUCUCACAGCGCCUGG